rnacentral:rRNA from 1 species
UACGUAGGCAGCGAGCGUUGUUCGGAAUUACUGGGCGUAAAGGGUGCGUAGGCGGCCCUGUAAGUCAGUGCUGAAAUAUCCCGGCUUAACCGGGAGGGUGGCAUUGAUACUGCGGGGCUAGAGUACAGAUGAGGUAGGCGGAAUUGACGGUGUAGCGGUGAAAUGCUUAGAUAUCGUCAAGAACACCUAUAGCGAAGGCAGCUUACUAGGCUGUAACUGACGCUGAGGCACGAAAGUGUGGGGAUCAAACAGG